AGGACGAACGCUGGCGGCGUGCUUAACACAUGCAAGUCGAGCGGUAAGGCCCUUUCGGGGGUACACGAGCGGCGAACGGGUGAGUAACACGUGGGUGACCUGCCCUUAGCUCUGGGAUAAGGCCUGGGAAACUGGGUCUAAUACCGGAUAUGACCUCAUGACGCAUGUUGUGGGGUGGAAAGCCUUGUGCGGCUAGGGAUGGGCCCGCGGCCUAUCAGCUUGUUGGUGGGGUGAUGGCCUACCAAGGCGACGACGGGUA
rnacentral:rRNA from 1 species